CCUACGGGCGGCAGCAGUGGGGAAUAUUGCACAAUGGGGGAAACCCUGAUGCAGCGACGCCGCGUGAGUGAAGAAGUAUUUCGGUAUGUAAAGCUCUAUCAGCAGGGAAGAAAAUGACGGUACCUGACUAAGAAGCCCCGGCUAACUACGUGCCAGCAGCCGCGGUAAUACGUAGGGGGCAAGCGUUAUCCGGAUUUACUGGGUGUAAAGGGAGCGUAGACGGCAGAGCAAGUCUGAAGUGAAAGCCCGGGGCCCAACUGCGGGACUGCUUUGGAAACUGGCCGGCUAGAGUGCUGGAGAGGUAAGCGGAAUUCCGAGUGGAGCGGUGAAAUGCGUAGAUAUUAGGAGGAACACCAGUGGCGAAGGCGGCUUACUGGACAGUAACUGACGUUGAGGCUCGAAAGCGGGGGGAGCAAACAGGAUUAGAUACCCCUGUAGUC
rnacentral:rRNA from 1 species